GUGCUUGCUUUGGCAGCACAUAUACUAAAAUUGGAAUUAUACAGAGAUUAGCAUGGCCCCUGCGCAGGGAUGGCACACAAAUUUGUGAAGCAUUCCAUAUUUUU